rnacentral:rRNA from 1 species
AUGCAUGCACGAGUACUUCUCAAACCGCCAAGAGAUAUUGGCGAAGGAUCGAAGAUCAAUACUUCCGCAUUAUGGCAAAGCAUCCCAAUAGGACUCCACGCAUAUUUCGGUCGCUUCAAGGGCGUUGGGAGAAUAUAUAUCAAGCCUAUGUGCAACCGUUGGGCAGCUUGCUUGGAACAAGUACGCAAUGCACCUCCAAGUGGCACCGUGGAGUCGGACUAUGACAAGAUUGCUCAACAUCGAUACAAGGACAUGGAAGCUUCGGAAGGCAGAUUCUUCAAACUUGAGCAUUGUUGGGAGUUGCUCCAAAACUGCGAGAAGUGGAAGUUGAUCGACAUAGAAUCCCCACCAAAGAGAGGCUCACUUACAAAACAUGGAUGA